rnacentral:rRNA from 1 species
CACAAUGGGCGAAAGCCUGAUGCAGCCAUGCCGCGUGUAUGAAGAAGGCCUUCGGGUUGUAAAGUACUUUCAGUUGUGAGGAAGGGUGUGUAGUUAAUAGCUGCGCAUCUUGACGUUAGCAACAGAAGACGCACCGGCUAACUCCGUGCCAGCAGCCGCGGUAAUACGGAGGGUGCUAGCGUUAAUCGGAACUACUGGGCGUAAAGCGCAUGCAUGUGGUUCAUUAAGUCAGAUGUGAAAGACCGGGGCUCAACCUCGGAACUGCAUUUGAAACUGGUGAACUAGAGUGCUGUAUAUGGGGGUAGAAUUUCAGGUGUAGCGGUGAAAUGCGUAGAGAUCUGAAGGAAUACCAGCGGCGAAGGCAACCUACUGGACGCGUAAUGACACUCAGAUGCGAAAGCGUGGGGAGCAAAUAGGAUUAGAUACCCUAGUAGUCCACGCAGUAAACGAUGUCUACUUUUCAAGCGUCGACUUAUGCGACGCUUGAUAACGCGAAUGCCCUAGGUAGGCCGCCAGGGGAGGACGCACGCAAGUGUAAAACUCAAACGAACUACUAUUGGGCU